GACGAACGCUGGCGGCGUGCCUAAUACAUGCAAGUCGAACGCAGUGGGGACGGGUGAGUAACACGUGGGUAACCUCCCAUCAGAGGGGAUAACACUUGGAAACAGGUGCUAAACCGAUACUGAUGGAUGGACCCGCGGUGCAUUAGCUAGUUGGUGAGGUAACGGCUCACCAAGGCCACGAUGCCUAGCCGACCAGGGAGGUUGAUAGGCCCCACUGGGACUGAGACACGGCCCAAACUCCUCCGGGAGGCAGCAGUAGGGAAUCUUCCGCAAUGGGCGCAAGCCUGACGGAGCAACGCCGCGUGAGUGAAGAAGGUUUGCGGAUCGUAAAGCUCUGUUGUAAGAGAAGCGGUAUCUGACCAGAAAGCCACGGCUAACUACGUGCCAGCAGCCGCGGUAAUAC
rnacentral:rRNA from 1 species